AUUGAACGCUAGCGGCAGGCCUAAUACAUGCAAGUCGAACGGUGUAGCAAUACACAGUGGCGCACGGGUGCGUAACACGUAUGCAACCUACCUUACAUUGGGGGAUAGCCUUUCGAAAGGGAGAUUAAUACCGCAUAAGACAGUAACUAGGCAUCUAGUAGCUGUUAAAGAUUUAUCGAUGUAAGCUGGGCAUGCGUCCAAUUAGUUAGUUGGUGAGGUAACGGCUCACCAAGACGAUGAUUGGUAGGGGAACUGGGAGGUCAAUCCCCCACACUGGCGCUGAGAUACGCGCCAGACUCCUACGGGAGGCAGCAGUAGGGAAUAUUGGGCAAUGGGCGCAAGCCUGACCCAGCCAUGCCGCGUGCAGGAAGAAGGCGUUAUGCGUUGUAAACUGCUUUUAUACAGGAAAAAACGACCCUUGCGAGGGGCAUUGACGGUACUGUAUGAAUAAGCACCGGCUAACUCCGUGCCAGCCGCCGCCGUAACAC
rnacentral:rRNA from 1 species